UGUUAAAAAUUUUAUCUAUUUGUAUUGUUAAAAACUGGUAUGACAGACAAAAUAGCUAGGUAGUAAAACGUGACAUGCCACGUAUACCUCAUGCUAAUGUACAGGAUCAGUUUUUAACCGUAAGAAUGAAUAAAAUUUUUAAAA
rfam:Gossypium arboreum cultivar AKA8401 contig_66_5, whole genome shotgun sequence.